rnacentral:lncRNA from 1 species
UCUUGUUCAAUUCUUUUUUAAAAAAAAAACAAUUUCCAAAGACAACUUUCUGCACAUUUCAUGUUUGGGAACAGAAUCACUAAGGAAAGCAAAUACCAGAACCAUAAAUUAGGAUAGGUUUUAAUAAGAAUCGACAACACAAAUGCAAAGUUAAUAUCCCUAAAUGGCCUUUUCAAUGCUUGAUUCACCAUAAAACAGUGCAGAUAGAAUGAGCAAUGAGAUGACCCUGAAAAUUUCAAGUUUCUUCUUAGCCGCGAAGGAUUAAGAGAGUCAGCUACAAUAUUUUGAGUCGAACGGGAAACAACAACCAAAAGGCAAGAACGCGAACCACGAACUCGACCCCGGUGAAACUCGAAUCGGCAACUGAAGACAACAAACUCCCAAACCUCAAGUAAACUCCAUGAGCUUGAAACCGAAAUCGAAAAUGAAAGAAGAAAAAAAAUGAUGAAACGAAGGUUUUUUUUUAUUUUUAUGGUAUUGAAACAGAAUUCCGAGCAAGAAAGAAAACUGGAUUUUUCUCUUUUUUUUUUUACUUUUUUCUGGAAUCAACCAUAAGAAAAAUGAAGAGAGUAAAAAAAUAUCAAACUCCAAAGCCAAACCCCAAUUUUUUUCUCCCCCUUUUCUGUCCGAAAAUCCCCUAUAUAUAGGGAUCCUAGAAGCUUCUUCUCCAAGAAAUUCAAAAAUUAUUUCUCAAAAUAACUUCCAAGAACACUAAAAAAUCCCAAAAAUCUUCAUAAAACAAAAAACGAAAAAAUGGAAGGCAUGGAUCGGUUUUCACUCACAUCCAACAGCUCCCAUUUAUUCGAGAUUUGUUCAAACAAACUAAAGCGCAUGAGGGAGAAGGCGGAUUCGAUUUGGGUGAAAUCAUUAGCGAAUAUCCUGAGUUUGUUAUCAUUGCUACGUGGAAGAAGGAGAAGUGAGGAGGGGGGACCGUGGGGUGACCAGUGGGUGAACUCGUAGGGUUUGGGCGAGUUCCGGCGAGUUUGGAGGCGAGCAGCGAUAGGGGUUGCGGCUGGUCUUGAGAUUAGGUUUAGGAUUAGGGUUUUUUGGGAAAUAUUGGGUUUAUAUUUGGGGGUGUGAGGAUUAAUCAUGGUCGUUGGAUCAAACGGGAUGAAUGGCUGAGAUUAAAAAUUAAAAACGGGGCGGGUCGGUGGGUUUCGUGGGUCAGGAGAUUGGGUUGGCUGGGUUGAAAGGGUUAUGGGAUUGGGCUGCCCAGAUUUGGGCCUCUUUAACAUCCGAAUCGAGCCUAUAAUUUGGGACUUUAACCCUUUUAAAUAUACCAUUUAAGAAAACUUAAACCUUUUCUUUACAAAAAGGAUUUAAAAUUAAUUAUGAUUAAUUAAAGUAAAAUAUAUCAUACUAUGAAACUAUAUUUAUAUAUUAUUUUUUAUAUAAAUUAUUAUAUUCAUAAUAAAAGUAAAAAUUAUGGUAAAAAUAAAAAUAUAUGGCCAUAAAAAUAUUAAUAACCUAAACUAAAUAGAAUAAAAUAAAAUAUGAAACUAUUUUUGUAUUUUUCAAUUUUCUUGUGCUUUAAAAAUAGAAUUAAAUUUAAUAAUAAAGUAAAAUCCUAUAGAAAUAAGUUCAAAUAAAUAUCCUAAAAAUACUAGGACUAUUAGAUGUGAUUUUAAUGUGUGGGUCAAAAAUUACAUGUCUACAGCUGCCCCUCUUUGACGGGAAACACAAAGUAUUUUCAGACAAAGAACAAUAAGACAUGUUUUUUGACCCGACCCUUAUUUAGAGAGACUAAAACCAGAGAAAAGAGAAUGUGACUGAGCCCGGUAUCUGAGUUGCCUACAUAUCCUUGGCUAUAAAGGAAUCAGACCACGUGUAGUUCGGAGUGAGAAGAGCGAUGGAGUACCGAGGUGGAGAGUCGAGUGAAGUGUUGUCGAGGUUCCGGUCCGUGGUUCCUACCAUUACAUCAAAAAUAAAAGGGAAAAAUUACAGCAAAAGUAAAAGAAAAAUAAAAGAUCCUAUCUACUUCUUGUCUUGAAUCUUCCGUGAAUCUCUACUUGAUCUUCAAUAUGCAACUGAAAAAUGGACCCUGUUCUUCAGGCGAGCUCCUGAUGCUUCUUGAAUUUGCGAAAUGAAGCAAAUCUGAAAUGAAUUCCCUCGUUCUCCAGGUGGGCGCCUGCCAAUAGCUUGACUUUGGUAUAAAAUGAGUUCCCUCAUUUUCCAGGUGGGUGCCUGAUUUCCAAAAUUUGAAUUGUAUUCCCUCGUUAUCCAGGUGAGCGCAUGAUUACCAACAAUUUGAAUUGUAUUCCCUCGUUAUCCAGGUGGGUACCUGAUUACCAAAACUUGAAAUGUAUUCCCUCAUUAUCCAGGUGGGCGCUUGAUUGCUAAAACUUGAAACUGUAUUCCCUCGCUAUCUAGGUGGGCGCCUGAUUAUCAAACUUGAAACUGUAUUCCCUCGUUAUUCAGGUGGGCGCCUGAUUGCUAAAACUUGAAACUGUAUUCCCUCGUUAUCNNNNNNNNNNNNNNNNNNNNNNNNNUAGGUGGGCGCCUGAUUACCAAAAACUUGAAUUGUAUUCCGUCGUUAUCUAGUUGGGUGCCUGAUUGCUAAAACUUGAAUUGUAUUCCCUCGUUAUCUAGGUGGGCGCCUGAUUACCAAAAACUUGAACUGUAUUCCCUCAUUAUCCAGGUGGGUGCCUGAUUGCUAAAACUUAAAUUGUAUUCCCUCAUUAUCAAGGUGGGCGCCUGAUUACCAAAAACUUGAAUUGUAUUCCCUCAUUAUCUAGGUGGGCGCCUGAUUACCAAAAACUUGAAUUGUAUUCCCUCGUUAUCCAAGUGGGUGCCUGAUUGCUAAAACUUGAAUUAUAUUCCCUCGUUAUCCAGGUGGGCGCCUGAUUACCGAAAACUUGAAUCGUAUUCCCUCGUUAUCCAGGUGAGCGCCUGAUUGCUAAAACUUGAAUUGUAUUCCCUCGUUAUCUAGGUGAGCGCCUGCCAUUACAACAAAACAAACAAAACAAAAGAAAUUUUCUGCCCCAGUUUGGAGUCUGGGCACAUCUGUGAGUGUUAAUCGAAUCAUGUUACCUAAAGAGAUCUAAGAAUUUAAAAGCUAAAUUCCAUUAUCCAGGAGGGCCCUGAAAAGUUUAAAUUAAAUCUCAUCUUAAGAGUGACAACUUUAAAGCUAAGUUAUAUUUCCUACAGGUAGAACUUACGUUGAAUCUUGUUAUCUAUGAAGGUUUUGAAACCUAACUAGAUCCCAUUAUCCAGGAGGGCCCUGUAAGUUUUAAAUUAAAUCCCAUUAUCCAGGAGGGUCCUUAGAACUUUUAAAAUUAAAUCCUAUUAUCCAGGAGGGUCCUGAGAAUUGAGACUGAAUUUACCUGAGCCAUGCUCUCGUCUUGGAGGAUUCUGAACAGAAUUUCUUGCCCCUGAACCAUGCCUUCUUCAUGGGAGGGUCCCUAUGGAUUAACAAAUUUUCUUGCCCCUGUUUCGGACAAAUAAAAUCUUGUUAGUUGGAAAACGUGGUGGUUAGUUUGUGGCAUCAUUGCUGAGCGUCUGCUUCUGCCACUGCCAUGCUUCAUUCUAAUCAACUGCUUCGAGCCAGCAAGGAGUUUUUUGACCUUUUGAUUGGAACUGGACCAUAAAACCUCUGAAUGAUCUGAAUCUCUUACACUCACUUGUUGCAUUGAGUUUUCAUUCUGAAAGUUGCUGAGUCCUUGUAUUUUCUCAAAAUUCAAGAUUCAAAUGAUUGCAUGAACCUCAGUUAGCACCAUACUGCUUAUUCUAAAUCAAGUCACUUGUGAUGUGCCUGGCCGAACUCCGCUUUGUGCAAUUUAGAAGCUGGUAGUAGGCUUUGGAAUCCUUUCCUGCUUGUUCAACAAGGCUAACUCGAAAGAGACUCAUAACGAUAGACUCAAAGAGCAAAGUGAAAUGAUUUUUGGCAAAAGGGACAAAGGAAAAUUUUGAACCCAGAUGACUAUGUGAAGAAGAAUGGGAAAAGAAGACUUAUCUGAGUGAAGCGACUGGCUUUAAUGACCAUGACAUGCAUUUCGGAUUGAUCAGCCUAAUAUUUCCAACCAAUCAUAGUUCAAUUCAUGUCAUGUCUUCAUACUUCACAAAUCGGGCUUUGACUGAUCUAAUUUCUCUGUAGAGUCAUGAGCCUCAUUCGAUUUGUAGUACCCCGAAGGUUUCUCACUAACAAGCCUCUCUCCUUUGUUCAUCUCUCAACUCACCAUCGCCCUAUGGUGCCCGUGAGGGUUUUCACCAAUAAGACUCUCUCAUUUUAAAUUUUCUCUCAGCUCACCAUCGCCUUACGGUGCCCAUGAGGGUUUUUACCAAUAAGACUCUCUCAUUUUAAAUUUCUCUCUGGUGCCCAUGAAUAGAGUGUUACCCAUGAUGUAAAUCAUACCUCUAUCUCGCUUGACCUGGUAUCCUCAAAGAUUGAUCGGAAGGUCUUUCUUUGGACCAUAAUGUAGGCUUUUGGACAGGGUUAGAAAUAAAGGGUAGCAUGAAGGCUCAAAAUAAUUUAAGAUGAAAAGGAUUCAAAAUUACAACAUUUGGAAUCAGAUCUUUUCAAAACCAAAACUUCUGCCCCAAUUUCUUUGGGUCUGGGGAAUUUUUAUUUUUAUUUUGAUGGGACCGAACCGUAAGGUUUACUACGUAUCCUUAAAAGGAAUCAGGUCGAACGUAGUUCAAAAGAAAGUUAUUUGUUUUUGUUCCCUUUUUCUUUUCUUUUCUUUUUUUCUUUUCUUUAUUUUUUUUCUUUCUUUCUUUUCUUUUCCUUUUUUUCUUUUCUUUUUCCUUUUUUUUUCAUUUUUCUUAUUUUUCAUUUAUUUUUCAUCAUUUUUUUUCUAAUUCUGCUACUGAUUCCAAAAGAGGAAUAUGAAAGAAAAUAAAUAAGGCUCAAAAGGGGUAGCAAAGGAUGAAAGUAUUUCGGUAGAGGAACAAAAUGCCUUCGUCAUUUCAACUUUGAACAUGCCAAGAACAAAAUACAAUUGGAGGUAAGCAAAGAAGUCAUACAUAGUACCUCUUAACUGCAUCAGAAUUGAUAGCCAUAUCUACACAUUUGCCUUCUAUGUCUGUUAAAUACAAAGUUCCAUUGGGCAACGCUCUUGUCACAACGAAUGGCCCCUGCCAGUUUGGGGUGAACUUGCCUUUAGCUUCCACCUAGUGAGGAAGUAUGUGUUUCAAUACUAUCUAGCCCACUUCGAAUUUUUGAGGACGCACCUUUUUGUUGUACGCUCUUGCCAUUCUUCUGAUACAAUUGACCAUGACAUACUGCAGCCAAUCUUUUCUUAUCAAUCAAACUCAACUACUCAAGCCAGGUUUUGGCCCACUCAUCAUCAUCAAUUUUAGCUUCUGCUACGAUCCAAAGGGAUGAAAUCUCAACUUCCACAGGUAUAACUGCCUCAGUUCCAUAUACCAGCAAAUAAGGAGUUGCACCUACUGAAGUGCGAACAAUAGUGCGAUAACCCAGUAAGGCAAAAGACAACUUUUCAUGCCACUGCCUAGAACCUUGAACCAUCUUACGAAGUAUCUUCUUUAUGUUUUUGUUGGCAGCCUCAACAGCUCCAUUUUCCUUGGAACGAUACGGAGUAGAGUUACGAUGCAUGAUCUUAAACUGUUGGCAUACCUCUUUCAUCAAAUGACUAUUGAGAUUAGCAGCAUUGUCUGUGAUGAUCACCUUGGGAAUUCCGAACCGACAACUGAUGUUUGAAUGAACAAAAUUCACCACUGCCUUCUUGGUCACGGACUUGAAAGUUACAGCUUUGACCCACUUGGUAAAGUAAUCAAUGGCCACCAGAAUAAACCUAUGCCCGUUUGACGCUGCCGGCUCAAUUGGUCCAAUGACAUCCAUGCCCCAAGCAACAAAGGGCUAAGGUGCAGACAUUGUAUGUAAAUCAGAUGGGGGAGAAUGAAUCAAAUCACCGUGUACCUGGCAUUGAUGACACUUGCGAACAAAACUGAUAGAAUCCCAUUCCAUGGUGAGCCAAUAAUAACCUGCUCGAAGUAUCUUCUUUUCCAAGACAUACCCAUUCAUAUGCGGCCCGAAAACUCCAGAAUGUACUUCGGCCAUGAUAGUUGAAGCUUCUUUAGCAUCUAUGCACCUCAGCAGUCCCAAAUCUGGAGUCCUCUUGUACAAGAUUCCCCCACUUAAGAAAAAUCAACUAGCCAAUCAUUGAAUAGUUCUCUUUUGAUCACCUGUGGCAUGUACUGGAUAUACCCCGACUUGGUGUAUUCCUUGAUAUCAUGGAACCAAGGUUCGCCAUCAAUUUCCUCUUCAACCACAUUACAAUAAGCAUGUUGAUCAUGAACUUGGAUAUGCAUAGGGUCGACAUAAGCUUUGUCCGGAUGAUGUAACAUUGACGACAGAUUAGCCAAAGCGUCGGUAAUCUCAUUGUGAAUCCUGGGAAUAUGUCUAAAUUCUACUGACCUGAAUCAUUGACAAAGAUCAUGUAGACACUGUCGAUACAGUAUGAGCUUUAAAUCACAAGUCUCCCAUUCUCCUUGAAUCUGGUGAACCAACAAAUCUAAAUCUCCUAAAACGAGUAUUUUCUGGAUUCCCAUGUCUAUAGCUAACCUCAAACCCAGAAUGCAUGCUUCGUACUCAGCCAUGUUGUUGGUACAAUAAAAUCGAAGUUGGGCUGUUACAGGGUAGUGUUGCCCUAUUUCAGAGAUAAGUACAACCCCUAUUCCGACCCCUUUCCUGUUAGCAGCUCCAUCAAAGAAGAGUUUCCAACCUGGCUUUUCAUCAUGGUCAACCUCGUCACACACAUGACCUCUUCAUCAGGAAAAUAAGUCUUCAGUGGCUCAUAUUCAUCAUCCACCGGAUUCUCGUCCAAGUGAUCAGCCAAGGCUUGGGCUUUCAUUGCAGUCCGAGUUCUGUAAGUAAAAUCUGCCACUUUGCAAGUCUUCCCGUGGGCAUAGGCUUCUGAAAGAUAUACUUUAGAGGAUCCAUGCGAGAAAUGGUAAGUAGUGUAGGAAGACAGAUAAUGCUUCAACUUUUGCGCCACCCAAGUCAGGGCGCAACAUGUCCUCUCAAGUAGAGUGUACUUAACGUCAUAUGGAGUGAACUUCUUACUGAGAUAAUAGAUUGAUUGCUCCUUCUUUCCUGUGAUGUCAUGUUGACCCAAUACACAACCAAAAUAAUUAUCCAAGACUGUUAAAUAGAGAAUUAAAGGUCUUCCAGGUUCUGGUGGGACCAACACAGGUGGAUUCGACAGGUACCUCUUGAUAUUAUCAAAUGCUUCUUGACACUCGUCAGUCCACUUGACUGUAACAUUCUUCUUCAGUAGAUUAAAGAUGGGCUCAUAGGUUGUCGUGAGUUGAGCAAUAAACCUGCUAAUGUAAUUUAACCUUCCAAGUAGGCUCAUCACCUCUGUUUUGUUCUUUGUCAGCGGUAACUCUUGAAUGGCUUUGAUCUUUAACGGAUCCAACUCAAUACCGCGUCUAUAGACCAUGAAUCCCAGUAGUUUCCCAGAGGGGACACCAAAUGCACAUUUUGCUGGAUUGAGCUUGAGGUUGUACCUAUGGAGCCUUUGGAAAAACUUCCUCAAGUCCCUGACAUAGUCAGACUUCUUCUUUGACUUUAUAAUCACAUCAUCUACAUAAACCUCAAUCUCCUUGUGUAUCAUGUCGUGAAAUAUGGUGGUCAUCGCCCUCAUAUAUGUUGCCCCAACAUUCUUCAGACCAAAUGGCAUUACUUGGUAGCAAUAUGUCCCCCAUGGCAUGAUGAAUGCUAUCUUUUCUGCAUCUUUCUCAUCCAUCAAGAUCUGUUGAUAUCCCGCGUAACAAUCUACAAAAGACCCAAUCUCAUGCUUGGCACAAUUAUCGAUCAGAAUGUGAAUGUUCGGCAAUGGAAAAUCAUCCUUUGGGCUUGCUUUGUUAAGAUCACGGUAAUCAACACAUACCCCGGUCUUACCAUCUUUCUUUGGUACUGGCACAACAUUGGCUAACUAAGUGGGAUAUCGAGUGACCCGAAUGACAUUUGCAGUAAGCUGCUUUGUGAUUUCUUCUUUGAUCUUCACACUAAUAUCAGUCUUGAACUUUCGCAACUUUUGCUUAACAGGAGGGAAUGUUGGAUCAGUUGGCAAUUUAUGAACUACCAAAACAGUGCUCAGGCCUGGCAUAUCGUCAUAUGACCAUGCAAAGACAUCUUUGUACUCAAACAAUGUUUUGAUUAUUUCAUCCUUAACUUGCGGUUCUAAAUGCACACUUAUCUUGGUUUCCCUAACAUCAUCCUGGUCCCCUAAAUUGAUUGCUUCAGUUUCAUUCAAAUUAAGCUUUGGUUCUUCUUCAAAUUGUUUUAGCUCGUUACUGAUUUCCUCAAAUGCUGCUUCUUUAUCAUAUUUUAUUUCAUCAUCAUAUUCUACUUCUUGGAUUGUUAUUUCAGGAUUAGAUUGGCUUUUAAGAUUCGGCUGAAAAUUCUUCAUGCAUGUCAUGUCACUGCAACCAGAAUUAAAGGAACUGUACAAAAGAAAAAAGAACAAAAUAAAACACUAUUAAGAAUAAUGGAAAAUGGGAAAUUGCAUUUCAUUGAAAAAUAAAAGGAUAGAGGGGUUUGAACAUCAAAACAAGCAAAAACUAAAAAUCUGGAUUACAACCCUGGAAUAACCCAGAUAACAAAAAGGAAAACAAAGCAAACUACCAAAACUCCUUCCUGGCGGGGAAAUGAGUAGCUUCCCAAUUGCUAAGCUUCACGUUUGGGCCAACGAGCUUCACAUCUACUUUACUAGAGCCUUCACCAACUUCUACCAUAUUGACCUCUUCGAACAGACUUUGGAACCUCUUGAUCAACUCUUCAUCAACAUCGACCACAGUUUUUGGGAUUGAGGAGGUUGGAGGUUUUUCGGCCCCUGGCUUGACAAAAGACUUAGAGAUGUGUGGGAUGGGCUUGGGGAGCAACCAUACCUUCUGUUUCAGAUUAUUUUAACCCUUUUCACGUCCUUCUCUGUGGGCAUGAAUCCCAAACCAAACGUACCAGGAUUCCCACUAGGACGCACUGAAUGCACAAUACGCUGCAGAGAUGAGCCCAAACCCUUGCCCGACACAAAACCAUUAUUUAACAUUUCGUUUGCAACCAUGACGGGCGCGAAGGAUAGCUUAGAACCCAGAAUGCAUUUUCCUUCAGGAAUUUUCUCAACAGACACUGUUUCAAAAGUCUGAUAGACCCAAGGUCCCUUAUCAUCUUCAGCUUCGAUGAACGGAACAAUUGUAUCAUUACAAGCUGACAAGUCCUCAUCACCGUGCACAACUAUUUCCUGCUUGUCCCAUUCAAACUUCACCAUUUGGUGCAGAGAAGACGGGACUACCUUAGCAACAUGUAUCCACGGCCUGCCCAACAACAGAUUGUAGGAGACAACCACAUCUAACACUUGGGAUUCCAUGGUAAACUCAACAGGCCCUAUCGACAAUUCGAGCAUUAUAUCUCCAACAGAAUCUUUACCUCCCCCAUCAAAGCCUCGAACACACACACUGUUCAAGUGGAUUCUUUCGGUGCCAAUCUUCAGUUUUUGCAGAGUAGACAAGGGACAAAUAUUAUCACUAAAUCCAUUAUCAACCAAAACCUUUGAGACAAUAAAAUCUUCACACUUCACCAUGAGAUAAAGAGCUCGGUUGUGUUUUGUACCCUCCAUAGGAAGUUCUUCGUCCGAGAAAGUGAUCCUAUUUGCUUCGAAGAUCUUGCCAACUAUCUUUUCCAAGUGGUUCACUGUGCUUAUCAGGAACAUGUGCCUCAUUCAAAAUCUUCAUCAAGACCCUGCGAUGUUCAUCUGAAUGUAUCAACAAAGACAAAAACAAAUCUGAGCUGGUGUUUUCCUUAACUGCUCCACAAUGGAAUAAUCCUACAUUUUCAACUUUUUCAGGAACUCCUCAGCCUCUUCCUCGGUGACCGAUUUCUUUACUAGCAUUUGGCUAUCCUUGAAUGGCUUGGCUUUCCUUAAUUCUUCUGGGGUGAAACAUCUCCCAGAAUGAUUCAAUCCUCCAGUUUCAUUAACUUCUUCCUCUAUUUAUUUUCCUUUGUAUGUCACUAUCACUUGUUUAUAAUUCCAUGGAAUAGACUUGGCAUCCACCACUGGUAUCUGGGUCACUGGUUUAAUGAUGAUAGGGGUAAUAGGAGCCCCCUUCACCGGCCCGAAUCAUCAUGACGGACUUAGAAGACUUCUUGGGCUCCCUAUCCUUGUGAACUAUUUCAAUCAUAUGUGUCUCUUCAUGGGAUGGAAAAGGGUUUUGGUUGAUGUUUAGCGUGUCUGGGCUUUGGACUACAAUUUGGUUUGUAUCAAUGAGCUCCUGGAUUGCCCGUUUCAAAUGCCAGCACUUCUCUAUGUCAUGCCUUGGAGAAUCAGAAUAAUNNNNNNNNNNNNNNNNNNNNNNNNNNNNNNNNNNNNNNNNNNNNNNNNNNNNNNNNNNNNNNNNNNNNNNNNNNNNNNNNNNNNNNNNNNNNNNNNNNNNNNNNNNNNNNNNNNNNNNNNNNNNNNNNNNNNNNNNNNNNNNNNNNNNNNNNNNNNNNNNNNNNNNNUGAGCAUAUGACUGUGCAUGGUGAACAAGGUAUUGGGAUGGCCUGGCUGAGUAUUGGGGGUUUUACGGGAAAAGUAAUGUUAAGGUGGAUUAUGUGGAGUUUGGGCGUAGGUUUGAGGUCGGGGUCGAGGAUGGGUGUAUUUAUGAAGUGAACCCCUCUGGCCAUGCCAUGAUCUGGAGACAACCAUAGCGACAUCUUCCUUCUUCUUCUUGCCUAGCAAACUUCCGAUACCACACUGGAUUGCCUGGGUGGUUGCUUUUAUAGCAGAAUAGCUCAUGAUCUUACUCGACUUGAGCCCCUCUUCCACCAUUUCUCCCAUCUUCACCACAUCAUUGAAAUACUUACCAAUGGCUGAGAUCAAGUGGCCAUAGUAAGUGGGCUCCAGUGCUUGAAAAAAGUAUUUAACCAUCUCGUCUUCUUCCAUCGGAUGAUUGACUCGUGCAACUUGCUCCCUCCAUCGGAACCCAUAUUCUCUAAAGCUUUCGCUGGGUUUCUUUUCCACCUUGGUCAGAGAUAGACGGUUUGGAAUAAUGUCUAUAUUGUACUGAAAGUGUGGGGCGAAGGCCUGAGCCAUAUCGUCCCAGGUGUACCACCUGCUAGCGUCCUGGCGGGUGUACCAUUCUAAAGCUGUCCCACUAAGACUUUGGCUGAAGUAUACUAUUAGUAAUUCAUAUUUUCCCCCGGCGCCUCUCAUUUUAUUGCAAUAACCUCUUAGAUGAGCUACAUAAUCCCCAUGUCCGUCAUACAAGUCAAAUUUGGGCAUCUUGAACCCGGCAAGCAGUUGGACAUCGGGGAACAAACACAAAUCCUUAUAGGCCACACUCACUUGGUUUCCCAACCCUUGUAUAUUUCUCAAUGAUUGCUCCAGACUCUGUACCUUCCUAAAUAUCUCUUCUUGCUCUGCGUUCUUGGGUGGUUUGUUAGUUUCAACAUGAGGCUCAAAUUGGGGAGUGUAAGAGUAAGGAUCUGGGAUUUUGAAGGUGGGCUCCGGUGCAUAGUAGUGGGCAUCUGUAGCGGGGAAUGCGGGCUCACUAGAGGAUCGGUGGAGGGUUGCUUGUGGAGGGGGUACAAAAAUAGGAGUAGAUGUUGGAGCAGAGUACGAGGUUGUUUUGGCUGGCGGAGCAUGAAAAGUUUGGGCCAAAGUGUCGGGGUAGUUAUGGUAAGGGGUAAAGCCCGGUCGUGUUGUGGGGAAAGAUCAAUGAUAUUGGGCAUCUGGGAUUGAGAAAGUGGUGGAAUGGAAGCAUGGUUUUCUGUGUAGUUGGUAGGGAACAAGGGUGGAGGGUGUCCCUUAAUCCAGUCUUGAUACAUUUCUGCCAUUUGAUGCUUCAACCUCCGGACCUCCUCUUGCAGUUCCGAUUCCGACUCAACAAUCUCUCUUGGUUGGUCUACAACUCUAGUGUCUACUUCCUUGCUAGCCAUGACUGUUUGACGCUUUGAUCGAGUGUUGUAUGGAUGACUUGCCAGGAUGCCAACAAACUAACCACCUUCCUAAAUUUAAAUAAAGAUAACAGAGGACAACAACACAAAACCACCAUGUUAGCGUUAGGGCAUUUAUCAUAUGAUAAUAUAACAUUACGUGAAAUGCACGUAGCAACAAUUAAUGGUUCUAAAAUAGCUUUGAGGGUCGCAGGGUCAUAUGGCAUCAUCCUGAUUUGCUCAUUUCAAUCCUUCCUUCUCUUUCUUUUCCAACACCUCUUAUCACCCUUUUCUCUUUUUCUUUCUCUUUUUAUUUUGAAAUAAAAAUGAUUUGAUCGAACCCGAUAUAGGUUGCCUACGUAUCAUGUCCCUCAUGAAUCAGACCAAGCGUAGUUCUGGGAAAGUGAUGGAAAAUAAACUAAAAAUAAAAUCUUUUGGGAUUUUUCAUUUAAAACUUUUCGAUAUUAAAAUACAAUAGGAAGUACGAUAACGAAAGACCUGAUAGACUCAACUACACUACAACAGACUCUGACACUACCUAAAGGAAUCAGUACUUCUAGACAAGACACGAAAGUAAAAGACAACAUAAGACAAUCUCAAAACACCUAAAUAGAAUGACUCCUCAAGCUGCUCCUGGAUGCGUCGGUCCUGACUUGGAUGGUCCUGGGCUGUCCGUCAUGCUCAAACUCUAUAACAUGCCUCGUAAAGAAACACCAAUGCUGGGAAUAAAGGCCCUGGCGUAUGCCCCCGCAUCCUGAAGGCCGACCCUAAACAAAUACUAGCCAUGCUGCUCCACGUUUGCUGCCAAUCCUGCUAACUGAGACUUUAUCAACUCAAGCUUAUCCCAGGGAUCCUGGUUCGAUGCCUCCUCAAAAUCAUCAGUUUGAACUGCCCGACCCCUAAGUUGUGCUGGCAAUGGGGUGCUGACCCCUGGCGGGACGGGCUAUAACCAAAUCAAGUACUCCUGAGUACACUCGGGCCUGUCAACGUCCUCUACUAAUGUAUUUUUCUUCAUCCUCUUUGCAUUGUUCCAGUAUUGCACGUACUUGAUUUUGUCAGCCGCCUUUUUGCUAAAAUUCAUGAUGUGCCUCCGAAGAUUCAAAGUUGGAGGCUCUGCUUGUCUUCUGCCCAACUGCUGCAUUACCCUAACGGGAGUGUAUUACCUGACACACUUGAGUCCUAUGAACAUCAGGAAAGGCUGCAUGAGGCACCCUACCAAGAUAUCAUCCAAAGGUAGCCAAAGGUAAGCCCACAAAACAUUCCCAUUUGUCCUCAAACCAAGGAACUCAAUCCAAGCCGUGACGCCUACUGGGUAUGUAAACUUAGGAGAUUUCAUCCUACGCUCGAUGCAUACCACCCGAUCCCUCAAGGCAUGGUCGAUGGGACAAAAUAAGGAAGCGGUGUGCAAAUGCUCCAUCAUCCACAGUAGUAGCAAAAGGUUACUUCUCUCAAAAUAUCUGACACCUCCCCUAACCUCACUCAGGGCUCGGUACAACUCUGCUAAGAUCAUUAGCACAACGGUAACGAUUUUGCUUUGCUUCUCAUGAAAUAGUGCCAUUACCACUGACUGCAAACGGGUGCUAAUGUGCCUCUCAUCUAAUGGAAAAACCAAUAAUCCCAACAAAGCAAGGCUGAAAGCUUCGAGGCGACGUCUUUGCCACUUUGCCUUGGUUGUGCAUAACUCAUCCCAAAAGACGUCAAAACUAUCCUGUGGUCAAUCUAGCAAAAAAAUAAUCCAAGGAUAUCCAGGACUGCUCAAGAUAUUUUAAAUGCUUAUUAUCUUUUAGGCCCAGGUCGCUGAGAAAUCUUGUCCUAGAGUGGUCUCGGGGAAGUAUCAUAUCCUUGCCUAUAUAGCUUAAACGAGUGAGAUCAGAUAUUUCCACCAAGGUAGGAGUCAUCUCACACUCUCCAAAUCUGAAAAUUAAAUUUUGCGGAUCCCAAUAAGUCAGCAUCACCUCCACUAAGUCUGGGCGAGGUGUGAUAUCAAGAAGGGAAGUUAAGGUGCCCAAUUUCUGCAUUAACUCAUGCUGCUCUAACAAUGAAAACAUUUUCCACCACUUGAUCAAUUUCCUAGGAAUCUUUACUACCAUCAGCACUUUGGAUAGAAUCAGCGGGUCCAUACCUGAAUGAAGAGAACGUGGUUAGCGACUCGGAACACUACGUGACACCACAACAUUUCCUAGUGGACAAAUGCAAGACACAAUUUGGCUAUAUUUUGCAGAUUGGCCUAAGUGGCUGAAAGUGACUAUUAGUGCAAACUUGACAAAGUUGACCCCUAAUGCACGAAAAAUACUCCAUUUAAAGCUUACAUGACUCCAACAUCCCAACAAUCAUGGCCUUAAAAAUUACUUUGCGAAAAGUGACCCUUUUUGCAAAAAUGGCUGAGAUGGCCAAAUGUGGCUAGAGAUGCAAACACGACAUGGAUGAACCUUAAAGUGAUAUGAAAUCGAGUUGUAAACUCAAGAUCCUAAGACAUGGGUAAUUGAACCACUUUUGCAAAAAUAACCCUAUUUUGCAAGAAUGGCCGAUGUGGCCAAAAGUGGCUAGACAUGCAAAUUUGACAGGAAUGAACCUUAGAGUUGAGAGGGCACUUCAUUGUAGACUCAGGGCUCUAAGAGAAGAGAUAACAAACUACUUUGAGAAAAUACUCCUAUUUUUGCAAAAAACGGCCGAUGUGGCCAAAUAUGGCUAUACAUGCAAGAUUUGGCUACGACCCCGGAAGCCAAGAACCUAGGACCUACUAGGAAGACCAGACCUUAUGUGGGUUGCCUACGUAUCCCGCCCCGGGAGACGAGAAUCAGGUUCACGUAGUUCAGGAAGAUGCAACUAAUGUGAAAAAACUAUAUUUUUUGUUUUUGAAAAAUGAUGAAAAAUGUAAAAACUUUUGGAUUUUUUUUUUAUUUAUUUUUUUUGGACAAUGAUGGAAAAUGUAACAUAUUUUUGGAUUUUCUUUUUCUUUCUUUUUGCUUGAAUUUUUGGAAAAUAAUGGAAAAGUGUAAAAUCUUUUUUGGAUUUUUUAUUUUCAAUUUUUUUUUUGAUUUUUGGAAAAAUAUGAAAGAAAAAUGCGGGUGGGCCCUACUUGCUUCAUUUUCACCCUUCUUUCCAAGACAUCGGUCCGCCAAAUGAUCUUUUUACCCUCACAGAUGCAACAUUUAGCACAUAGGAUGAUUAAAUGUCAUUUUGGGCCACGAGCCCAUUUUGACAAAAUUUGGAUAGGCUUCCUACAAAGGGACACGGUACCUGGGACCGAGCCCUACUAGGUCUAAAUGACAUGAUGCAAAUAAAAAUGACUUAAAGGCUGACCUAAGUUUGGGGUUCACUAACAAGGCAAUUCGGGGGAGCGUAUGGUCGAUGGUGGUUGCUCAAGCUUUUCACCCACUCCAUACGUCCGACGGCCCCCCCUCCUAAAUUAAGGGUGACUCAACAAAGAGUUCGUGCACGCGACGCGUGCUCCGAGACUUAUUGCAGAAAGAAUUGACCGAGUAAUGCAUAUGAUGACACUUAUAAAGCAGUAGACACAUAAAGCAAAAAGCGUAAACACAUAAACAACUAGCAAAUAACAACAUAUAAAAACAUAAUAAAAAUUAAGUAAAGCUAAUGAAAAAGCAUAAAAAUCUCAAUUCUAAAAGCCAACAAAAUCAAGUACUAGCUCAAACCUGUGAAAGUCCCCAACAGAGUCGCCAGAGGUGUCACACCCCUUUUUAACCAAACUCUACGUAAUCCUCUUAAAAUAAUAAAAAGAUUAGUAAAGCUCAAAAGGGUUUUUAAUUAAAAAGUGACAAAAUAUUGUGUGUCCAAAAGGAUUAACUCAGAGUCGCCACCUAACAUUGGUUUCGGUGUGCCAGGUCACCGUUUUUUUAAAACAAAAAAUUCCUUUAAAAUACUUUAGACUCCAAAACUAAGUCCGCACCAGAGAUUCGGGUAAGGGGGUUCAUUUGACUCGGGGAGAAGGUGUUAGGCACUUCUCAAGUCCCGUAACUAGUACGGUUGUGUACUCGAUCAAGUUGGCUUUUAAGAUAUUCAAAUUGAGGCAAAAACAAACACAGAAAAAUAAACACACAAAAGGGCUUGAGGUUGUCCCCCUCCUAAUAAAAGAAAAAUAAAGUACUACGAGUUCUAAUAUCGAUCUCCAAGUACAAAUACUUCGGGGCAUAUCCCGGAACAAAACAUAUACAAAUCCUUCGGGGUAUUCCCCUGAUAAAUUUAACUAAGGGAAUGACCUCUUUCCCCGAAAGAAGCUAAAACAAGAACAUCCUAAAAGUUUGCCUACCCAAAUAUUGUCGGCCUAAGCAUGCUCCUAGAGAAUAAUAUAAUAAAAUGAAGCAAAUGGAAUAACUAGAUAAAAGAAAAUUCUAAAUCAUGCUAAGAUUUUGUUUUUAGCUUUUCACUUGAUUCGACCGAGCCCGAUACCUAAAGCAUAAAACAAAUUAAUUGCUAAUGGGCUGGUCGCACCCCCAAGUCCCACGACCCUUCAUGAUAAGCAUAAAUCAAGCCAAACAAACAACUAAUAAGCUUCUAAACAAUUGUUCAUGGACAAAUAAAUUGCCGAUACAUCAUGGUCGCAGUUAAGCUUAAGGCAGUUCUCAACACGUUGGCAUAAUAAUAACACUCAAUCGCAUCUAAAAGGAUUAAAUACUCACGACUUAACAUACAAACAACUGUAGAAGACCCAAAUACACAAACUAAUUUUCAAGCAAACUUCAGAAGCUUCAAACAUAGCACGUUUUCCCUUUCUUUUCCUUUGUUAAAAUAACAAACUUGAUACAUAAUCUCAAACACUCCAGGAAUCUAACUAAAAGAAACUAAGUAGUCGAUUUUUUUUUAUAAUAAAGAAAGUGAAUAAAAUCCUAUAGUAAGGUUACUGAAUUCCUGAAGUAGCACCAUGAUAUUGAAAAUUAAUUAUAACUAGCCAACCCUUUUUAUAUUACUUUAGUCCUCUGAAGCCUUAUUUAUUAAAAAAUUAGUCAUGGAUUAAACCAAAAGGAAUUCCAGGAAAACAACUCAAUCUCAAAAAUACCAAAUGCUAUGACUAAAAGUAGGAUUAUGAGCCUCAUUUUACCUAUUUAUUCUGAGGAUUAGGCUAUUCUAGUGUCAAAAGAAGGAACUACGAUAACAGUCAUAAGCAUCUUGUUCAAUUUUUUUUUUUAAAAAAAUAAAUCAAUUUCCAAAGACAACUUUCUGCACAUUUCAUGUUUGGGAACAGAGUCACUAAGGAAAGCAAAUACCAGAACCAUAAAUUAGGAUAGGUUUUAAUAAGAAUCGACAACACAAAUGCAAAGCUAAUAUCCCUAAAUGGCCUUUUCAAUGCUUGAUUCACCAUAAAACAGUGCAGAUAAAAUGAGCAAAGAGAUGACCCUGAAAAUUUCAAGUUUCUUCUUAGCCGCGAAGGAUUAAGAGAGUCAGCUACAAUACUUUGAGUCGAACGGGAAACAGCAACCAAAAGGCAAGAACGCGAACCACGAACUCGACCCCGGUGAACCUCGAAUCGGCAACUGAAGACAGCAAACUCCCAAACCUCAAGUAAAUGCCAUGAUCUUAAACUGAAAUUGAAAAUGAAAGAAGAAAAAAAAAUGAAGAAACAAAGUUUUUUUUUCUUGUAUUGAAAAAGAAUUCCGAGCAAGAAAGAAAACUGGAUUUUUCUUUUUUCUUUUUUAUCUUUUUCUGGAAUCAACCAUAAGAAAAAUGAAAAGAGUAAAAAAAUAUCAAACUCCAAAGCCAAACCCCAAUUUUUUUCUCCCCCUUUUCUGUCCGAAAAUCCCCUAUAUAUAGGGAUCCUAGAAGCUUCUUCUCCUAAAAAUUCGAAAAUUAUCUCUCAAAAUAACUUCCAAGAACACUGAAAAAUCCCGAAAAUCUUCAUAAAACAAAAAUCGAAAAAAUGAAAGGCGUGGAUCGGCUUUCACUCACAUCCAACCGCUCCCAUUUAUCCGAGAUUUGUUCAAACAAACUAAAGCGCGUGAGGGAGAAGGCGGAUUCGAUUUGGGUGAAAUCAUUAGCGAAUAUCCUGAGUUUGCUAUCAUUGCUAUGCGGAAGAAGGAGAAGAGAGGGGGGGGGGACCAUGGGGUGAUCACUGGGUGAACUCGCCGGGUUUGGGCGAGUUCCGGCGAGUUUGGAGGCGGGCAACGAUAAGGGUUGCGGCUGGUCUUGAGAUUAGGUUUAGGAUUAGGUUUUUUGGGAAAUAUUGGGUUUAUAUUUGGGGGUGUGGGGAUUAAUCAUGG